UACAGAGGGGGCAAGCGUUGUUCGGAAUUACUGGGCGUAAAGGGCGCGUAGGCGGCCUUCUAAGUCGAACGUGAAAUCCCCGGGCUCAACCCGGGAACUGCGUCCGAUACUGGAAGGCUUGAAUCCGGGAGAGGGAUGCGGAAUUCCAGGUGUAGCGGUGAAAUGCGUAGAUAUCUGGAGGAACACCGGUGGCGAAGGCGGCAUCCUGGACCGGUAUUGACGCUGAGGCGCGAAAGCUAGGGGAGCGAACAGG
rnacentral:rRNA from 1 species